GAGUUUGAUCCUGGCUCAGGAUGAACGCUGGCGGCGUGCCUAAUACAUGCAAGUCGAGCGAACGGACGAGAAGCUUGCUUCUCUGAUGUUAGCGGCGGACGGGUGAGUAACACGUGGAUAACCUACCUAUAAGACUGGGAUAACUUCGGGAAACCGGAGCUAAUACCGGAUAAUAUUUUGAACCGCAUGGUUCAAAAGUGAAAGACGGUCUUGCUGUCACUUAUAGAUGGAUCCGCGCUGCAUUAGCUAGUUGGUAAGGUAACGGCUUACCAAGGCAACGAUGCAUAGCCGACCUGAGAGGGUGAUCGGCCACACUGGAACUGAGACACGGUCCAGACUCCUACGGGAGGCAGCAGUAGGGAAUCUUCCGCAAUGGGCGAAAGCCUGACGGAGCAACGCCGCGUGAGUGAUGAAGGUCUUCGGAUCGUAAAACUCUGUUAUUAGGGAAGAACAUAUGUGUAAGUAACUGUGCACAUCUUGACGGUACCUAAUCAGAAAGCCACGGCUAACUACGUGCCAGCAGCCGCGGUAAUACGUAGGUGGCAAGCGUUAUCCGGAAUUAUUGGGCGUAAAGCGCGCGUAGGCGGUUUUUUAAGUCUGAUGUGAAAGCCCACGGCUCAACCGUGGAGGGUCAUUGGAAACUGGAAAACUUGAGUGCAGAAGAGGAAAGUGGAAUUCCAUGUGUAGCGGUGAAAUGCGCAGAGAUAUGGAGGAACACCAGUGGCGAAGGCGACUUUCUGGUCUGUAACUGACGCUGAUGUGCGAAAGCGUGGGGAUCAAACAGGAUUAGAUACCCUGGUAGUCCACGCCGUAAACGAUGAGUGCUAAGUGUUAGGGGUUUCCGCCCCUUAGUGCUGCAGCUAACGCAUUAAGCACUCCGCCUGGGGAGUACGACCGCAAGGUUGAAACUCAAAGGAAUUGACGGGGACCCGCACAAGCGGUGGAGCAUGUGGUUUAAUUCGAAGCAACGCGAAGAACCUUACCAAAUCUUGACAUCCUUUGACAACUCUAGAGAUAGAGCCUUCCCCUUCGGGGGACAAAGUGACAGGUGGUGCAUGGUUGUCGUCAGCUCGUGUCGUGAGAUGUUGGGUUAAGUCCCGCAACGAGCGCAACCCUUAAGCUUAGUUGCCAUCAUUAAGUUGGGCACUCUAAGUUGACUGCCGGUGACAAACCGGAGGAAGGUGGGGAUGACGUCAAAUCAUCAUGCCCUUAUGAUUUGGGCUACACACGUGCUACAAUGGACAAUACAAAGGGCAGCGAAACCGCGAGGUCAAGCAAAUCCCAUAAAGUUGUUCUCAGUUCGGAUUGUAGUCUGCAACUCGACUACAUGAAGCUGGAAUCGCUAGUAAUCGUAGAUCAGCAUGCUACGGUGAAUACGUUCCCGGGUCUUGUACACACCGCCCGUCACACCACGAGAGUUUGUAACACCCGAAGCCGGUGGAGUAACCUUUUAGGAGCUAGCCGUCGAAGGUGGGACAAAUGAUUGGGGUGAAGUCGUAACAAGGUAGCCGUAUCGGAAGGUGCGGCUGGAUCACC
rnacentral:rRNA from 1 species